AUUGAACGCUGGCGGCAUGCCUUACACAUGCAAGUCGAACGGCAGCAUGGAGAGCUUGCUCUCUGAUGGCGAGUGGCGAACGGGUGAGUAAUGCAUCGGAACGUACCGUGUAAUGGGGGAUAACGUAGCGAAAGUUACGCUAAUACCGCAUACGACCUGAGGGUGAAAGCAGGGGAUCGCAAGACCUUGCGUUAUACGAGCGGCCGAUGUCAGAUUAGCUAGUUGGUGAGGUAAAGGCUCACCAAGGCGACGAUCUGUAGCGGGUCUGAGAGGAUGAUCCGCCACACUGGGACUGAGACACGGCCCAGACUCCUACGGGAGGCAGCAGUGGGGAAUUUUGGACAAUGGGGGCAACCCUGAUCCAGCCAUGUCGCGCGAGUGAAGAAGGCCUUCGGGUUGUAAAGCUCUUUCGGCCGGGAAGAAAUCGCACAGGCUAAUACUCUGUGUGGAUGACGGUACCGGCAUAAGAAGCACCGGCUAACUACGUGCCAGCCGCCGCUGUAA
rnacentral:rRNA from 1 species